ACCUCAAAUUCGGCUU
rnacentral:rRNA from 1 species